GAUGAACGCUGGCGGCGUGCUUAACACAUGCAAGUCGAACGAAGCACUUUAUUCGAUUUUCUUCGGAGAUGAAGAUUUAGUGACUGAGUGGCGGACGGGUGAGUAACGCGUGGAUAACCUGCCUCACACUGGGGGAUAACAGUUAGAAAUGACUGCUAAUACCGCAUAAGCGCACAGUACCGCAUGGUAUGGUGUGAAAAACUCCGGUGGUGUGAGAUGGAUCCGCGUUUGAUUAGCCAGUUGGCGGGGUAACGGCCCACCAAAGCGACGAUCAAUAGCCGACCUGAGAGGGUGACCGGCCACAUUGGGACUGAGACACGGCCCAAACUCCUACGGGAGGCAGCAGUGGGGAAUAUUGCGCAAUGGGGGAAACCCUGACGCAGCGACGCCGCGUGAGCGAUGAAGUAUUUCGGUAUGUAAAGCUCUAUCAGCAGGGAAGAAUAAAUGACGGUACCUGACUAAGAAGCCCCGGCCAACUACGUGCCAGCCGCCGCAGUAA
rnacentral:rRNA from 1 species